AAUCCUCUUGUUUUCGGAACCGUCAGCAGAUGCGGCUUCCUUUACCUGAAUAAUCCUUUAAAGGAGUAAUAAUUUUUAAAAAGGAGCUCGACCUCAGCCAAAGAGGACGGCGCACGAGAUUAGGGCUUGAUCCACUGCCUUUGGUUGGGCCGGCUGAAUCGCUGGGGACUGCGGCCAGUCUCUUAAAAAAGGAGAACAAAAAGCCGAAGACCUUGUGUGGCCGCCGGGACAAAGCACCUUGGGUUCGGCGAGAAGGGACGCGCAGGAGCGCUGAACCCAGAACACGCGUGGCCGCUGCGGAAGGGCGUCCGCCCGGCGUGCGGAACGCUGAGGGGACUCUCAUCCUCUGUCUCGCCCCCUUUUUUUGACCCGGGGAUCCAGCCGCAUUAUACACGAGUGACCUUUUAAAUCUACGUCCACCCUUUACCUGCGAGAGGACUGCAGCAGGCGAGUUCCGGAAGGCUGAAUCCCCAGGUCCCAGCCCCGGACCGCGGCAACUCGCCCCUGCGGCACGCCCGGCCCGGCUGCGCCCCCACUCAGCGAUGGAGGAAAAAGCCUGGAUGCGAAAGGAUGGGGGAGAACAAAGAGCCUUUGGAAGACGUCGCUGUUAUCUCAUUGUCUGUGUGAUUGGGGGAGCUGCGGCGGGGAGGAUGCUGUGGUCCCUUCCUCCGGCGUUCCCCACCCCCAUCCCUCUCCCCGCUGUCAGUGCGCACGCACACGCGCCGCUUUUUAUUUCUUUUUCCUGGUUUUCUUAUUCCAUCUUCUACCCACCCCUCUUCCUUUCUUUCACCUUUCCUUCCUUCCUUCCUCCUUUCCUUCCUCAGGAGAAAGGCCUCUCUC
rnacentral:lncRNA from 1 species